rnacentral:tRNA from 1 species
GCCUCUGUAACUCAGACUGGCAGAGUGCGUGCAUGGUAAGCACGAAGCCGGGGGUUCAAAUCCCCCCAGAGGCU